UAGUAAUUAGUUUAACCCAAAACAAAUGAUUUCGACUCAUUAGAUUGUGAUUUAUUUCACAAUUACUAA
rnacentral:tRNA from 1 species